rnacentral:rRNA from 1 species
CCUACGGGUGGCAGCAGUGAGGAAUAUUGGUCAAUGGGCGUAAGCCUGAACCAGCCAAGCCGCGUGAAGGAUGAAGGUUCCAAGGAUUGUAAACUUCUUUUGUAAGGGAACAAAGUGAGGCUCGAGUCCCUGUUCGUAUGUACUUUAAGAAAAAGCAUCGGCUAACUCCGUGCCAGCAGCCGCGGUAAUACGGAGGUGGCGAGCGUUAUCCGGAUUUAUUGGGUUUAAAGGGGGGGUAGGCGGACUGUUAAGUCAGCGGUAAAAUCCCGGGGCUCAACCCCGGAGAGCGGUUGAAACUGGUCGUCUUGAGAGGUCGAGAGGCAGGCGGAAUGCGGAGUGUAGCGGUGAAAUGCGUAGAUAUAGGGCAGAACACCGAUUGCGAAGGCAGCAUACUGGCGGUGAACUGACGCUGAGGCACGAAAGCGUGGGUAGCGAACAGGAUUAGAUACCCCAGUAGUC